rnacentral:rRNA from 1 species
AGACCCGAAACCCGGUGAUCUAGCCAUGGGCAGGUUGAAGGUUGGGUAACACUAACUGGAGGACCGAACCGACUAAUGUUGAAAAAUUAGCGGAUGACCUGUGGCUGGGGGUGAAAGGCCAAUCAAACCGGGAGAUAGCUGGUUCUCCCCGAAAGCUAUUUAGGUAGCGCCUCGUGAAUUCAUCUCCGGGGGUAGAGCACUGUUUCGGCCAGGGGGCCAUCCCGGCUUACCAAUCCGAUGCAAACUGCGAAUACCGGAGAAUGUUAUCACGGGAGACACACGGCGGGUGCUAACGUCCGUCGUGAAGAGGGAAACAACCCAGACCGCCAGCUAAGGUCCCAAAGUCAUGGUUAAGUGGGAAACGAUGUGGGAAGGCCCAGACAGCCAGGAUGUUGGCUUAGAAGCAGCCAUCAUUUAAAGAAAGCGUAAUAGCUCACUGGUCGAGUCGGCCUGCGCGGAAGAUGUAACGGGGCUAAACCAUGCACCGAAGCUGCGGCAGCGACACUGAUGUGUUGUUGGGUAGGGGAGCGUUCUGUAAGCCGUUGAAGGUGGCCUGUGAGGGUUGCUGGAGGUAUCAGAAGUGCGAAUGCUGACAUAAGUAACGAUAAAGCGGGUGAAAAGCCCGCUCGCCGGAAGACCAAGGGUUCCUGUCCAACGUUAAUCGGGGCAGGGUGAGUCGACCCCUAAGGCGAGGCCGAAAGGCGUAGUCGAUGGGAAACGGGUUAAUAUUCCCGUACUUGGUGUUACUGCGAAGGGGGGACGGAGAAGGCUAUGUUGGCCGGGCGACGGUUGUCCCGGUUUAAGCGUGUAGGUGUGUGUUCCAGGUAAAUCCGGUUCACUUUAACACUGAGGCGUGAUGACGAGGCACCACGGUGCUGAAGCAACAAAUGCCCUGCUUCCAGGAAAAGCCUCUAAGCCUCAGGUAACAUCAAAUCGUACCCCAAACCGACACAGGUGGUCAGGUAGAGAAUACCAAGGCGCUUGAGAGAACUCGGGUGAAGGAACUAGGCAAAAUGGUGCCGUAACUUCGGG